UGAGUAACGCGUAUGCGACCUGCCCGUUGCAGGGGGAUAAUCGGGAGAAAUCCCGUCUAAUACCGCGUAAUGCCGCGGGGCUGCAUGGCCCUGCGGCCAAAGGGAGCGAUUCCGGCAACGGAUGGGCAUGCGUGACAUUAGCUAGUUGGCGGGGCAACGGCCCACCAAGGCGACGAUGUCUAGGGGUUCUGAGAGGAAGGUCCCCCACACUGGUACUGAGACACGGACCAGACUCAUACGGAAGGCAGCAG
rnacentral:rRNA from 1 species